rnacentral:tRNA from 1 species
GUUUUAAUAAUUUAAAAAAAAUAUUAGUUUUGUAAACUAAAUUUAGGAAAUUCAACCUUUAAAACU